AGGUCACUGCUAUCGGUGUCCGAUUAAGCCAUGCGAGUCGUGAGGGGUAAAGCCCUCGGCAUACUGCUCAGUAACACGUGGAUAAUCUACCCAAAGGUCUGGGAUAACCCCGGGAAACUGGGGAUAAGACCGGAUAGGCCAAUACGUCUGGAAUGUGUGUUGGCUGAAAGGUAACGCCUUUGGAUGGGUCUGCGGCGGAUUAGGUAGACGCCGGUGUAACGUACCGGCGUGCCUGUAAUCCGUACGGGUUGUGGGAGCAAGAGCCCGGAGAUGGAUUCUGAGACACGAAUCCAGGCCCUACGGGGCGCAGCAGGCGCGAAGACUCUACAAUGCAGGCAACUGCGAUAGGGGGACAUCGAGUGGCACCCACCUUGGGUGUCUGUCCAACCGUCUAAAAAACGGUUGUUAGCAAGGGCCGGGUAAGACCGGUGCCAGCCGCCGCGGUAAUACCGGCGGCUCGAGUGGUGGCCGAUAUUAUUGAGUCUAAAGGGUCCGUAGCCGGCUUUGCAAGUCCUCUGGGAAAUCCAGCGGCUUAACCGUUGGGCUUCCAUGGGAAACUACAUUGCUUGGGACUGGGAGAGGUAGGAGGUACUCGAGGGGUAGGGGUGAAAUCCUGUAAUCCUUCGGGGACCACCGGUGGCGAAAGCGUCCUACCAGAACAGGUCCGACGGUGAGGGACGAAAGCUAGGGGCACGAACCGGAUUAGAUACCCGGGUAGUCCUAGCCGUAAACGAUGCCCGCUAGGUGUCACGGCGGUCGUGAAUCGCCGUGGUGCCGUAGGGAAGCCGCGAAGCGGGCCACUUGGGAAGUACGGCCGCAAGGCUGAAACUUAA
rnacentral:rRNA from 1 species